rnacentral:siRNA from 1 species
AGCAGUAUGGCCCGUGCUAUGC